rnacentral:rRNA from 1 species
UACGAAGGGGGCUAGCGUUGCUCGGAAUCACUGGGCGUAAAGCGCACGUAGGCGGAUCGCUACGUCAGGGGUGAAAUCCUGGAGCUCAACUCCAGAACUGCCUUUGAUACUGGCAAUCUCGAGUCCGGGAGAGGUGAGUGGAACUGCGAGUGUAGAGGUGAAAUUCGUAGAUAUUCGCAAGAACACCAGUGGCGAAGGCGGCGCACUGGCCCGGUACUGACGCUGAGGUGCGAAAGCGUGGGGAGCAAACAGG